GGAGAAGUGAUUGACAGGACAGAGGGACGACUGAAUCCACAGUGGAGACCUCGCCGCCUAAGGAAGGAUGGAGGAGCACACAGGUGAAGGGAGAAAAGAAGUGAAACGCUUUCAGCACCCACGUUUCAGGUCAAAGUGACAUUUUAUUUCUUCGCCCCCACUGCCUAACAGGGUAGGGAUUAUUUCUCGCAUGUUACAGAUGAGGAACUGAAUUCAGGCAGGUGCCCAAGGCUACACGGUGCUUCCUGGCGGAAUGAGGAAUCUAGCUGGAGUCUGGCUUCCUCAAAACCCCUGGCCCCUGUAAACCUGCUGCCUCCAGCCCAGCUCAAAUCAUUGAUAUUCUGAUUGCAGCUCAUCAUAAACGGUAUUUACUCAAGUCCCACUGCUAAGGAUUAUUGAAGGAGAGGAAAAGAUCUUUUGAAAAUACCCUGUAACUCACAUUUUACCUGCCAGAUGGAACAGCCACAUUCCUGCAAAAAGAUCUCUUUGGUGUCUGGCUAACUAGAAGACCACUGGAUUCUGGCAUCGGAUUCUGCCUUGCAAAUUUCUGGCAACAGGCACUGGUCACCUAAGCCUGUUACCUGAGAGCCAUCUUCACUCCACCAAUGAGCGGGUCACCAAGUUCGGCUGAAGCUUAUCUUCUGCCUGCCACUCACCAGCCCCAUGUCAGCAUCACGCAGGUGGCCAGUUUUCUUUUACAACUUGGUGGACUCAAAAAGAUGCGCAACCUAAAAGUUGAGAGUCAUGUGUUUAUUCAGUGGACAAAACUGAAGCCUUAAACCCAGGAGGCAGCAUCUCAAGUAACCCCAAAACGCCGCUCUGAGGAGGCAAGAGGAAGCUAGGGUGUACAGGGAAGACAGUGGCAACAGACAAUCACUGUUAAUAGAGGAAACCAGAUAUCUCAAGUUAAGGAAUUUAGUGAUUUUCUCCAAAUGGGAAGAUGCAACGUUCUGGGCUCACUGAGAUCUUUCCUUUGCGGUACACCUCGGGUCUCUGGGGCCAGGGUCCUGUGUUCUCACAUCCUGGGGAGUGGCUGCAGUCUGAUGGCUGCUGGACAGCAGGUGUCUAUGCUUCCUUCCUGCCUCCCUCAGGGCUCCCCUGGAGGUGGCUGCCAUCGCUGAUGACUGAGACAUCUUUGUUUAUGGAUAAGGCAGGCGCUAUUUUAUGUCUCAGGUACCAAGUGGGACCCCGAAGUCUGGCUAACCCUGACUUCACGUGUUCUCAGGGUGUAGGUUACAAUCUUACGGGUCUUGGGUGUCUAAGCCUCACCCAACAGCAUCACAGGGUGGAGCGUUGCGGAGGGGAUGGCAGAGAGAAAAGGGACCAAGGAACAUUCCAUCAGCUUCCACCUGUGCUGCACUCAAGCUCUU
rnacentral:lncRNA from 1 species